UUUUUGUUUCUUUGUUUUUUUUUUUUUUUUUUUUUUUUGUCUUUUUAAAUAUUGAACAAAGCAAUAAAAUAUUUAUAUUGUAUAUAACAAUUUCGAAAACGAAAAAAACCCACAGGCCCAUAAUGGAAAAUACCAAAAAUGCUCUUUGAUGAAUUGACGUCCAAUGGACGUAAUAUAUUUGGAAAAUGAUCAUUUAGAUUUGGAUAAUCAAAUCUAAACACCCAGAUCUAAACAAUUUUUUUCAAGAUUUUUUGGUAUGUGAUCGUUUAGAUUUCUCACACUAUCAUUUACUUUAAUCGUUUAAAUAUGCGUAGUCCAAUCUAAAUGAAUUUUUUCAACAAAAAAAAUUGGUACGCGAUUGUUUACAUUUGACACAAAAUCGUUUAGAAUUGAUAGUUUAAAUUAUGGUAGCCAAAUUUCCACGAUUUUUUUUUCACGAUCUUUUAUAUUUGGCACACGAUCUUAAAAAAUCAAAUAACAGUUUGAAAAAAAUAGCAAGAUCUUGAAGCAAAUAACAAUUUGAAAAUAAUAUAAAAAUUUAUCAUAGAAAGAAAAAGAUGAUGGGAAGGAAAAGAGAAAAAAUUAAAGAGGAGAAAAAACAAUGGAAAGAAAAAGAAGAAUUGCAUAGAAAAGAAUAUGAAAGCGAAGAACAAAUGAAAAUAUUUUUAAUAAAUUGAAGAAGAGAAAAAGAUGAUGGGAAGAAAAAAUAUCGCAAAAGAGGAAAAGAAAAAAUAUCGCAAAAGAGGAAAAGAAAAAAAAAUCGUAGAAGAUAAUAGAAGAAAAACGAUGAUAUGAAAGAGCAAACCUUAAAUUUUUUUAAAAAAAUGGUAAAUUUCGUGGCCUUUAAUUCUUCAUUUUGUGAUACGGGUUGUAAAUAUUUUAUCCGAGUACUAUUUAUGAAAGUUAACCUUUUUAAAAAAAAAUUAAAUAACAUAAAGAAAACAAAAAAAAAAACUGGUGUAGUACAGAAAGACAAACCUUUAAAAUUUAGUCUUCUCUCAAUCAUUAGUCUUACUUAGUUAAUUAAUUGGGUGUUUGCAAAUGUAAGUUUUUUUAAAAAAAGAAAAUAGGUUUGGAUCAACAGGUGCACCUAAACAUCUAUGGUAGGUGGAACACCUCUUUAGCACCAUAUAUCAUUCCUACUUCAUUAAUGAUUAAAAAUAGAUACAAGAAGCAGAAAAAUAUAGAAAGAGCUAGAGAGAAGUCCAAACACCGAAUAAAAACAAAUAAACAAAAGCAUUAUUGAUAGUAUGAAAAGAGGCGCAUGGUUUAUGUGUAAUUAGUAUAUGGUUAACUAGUUUGAUUAUCUCAAUGAACAAUAUUUUUUAUGAACAAUAUUAGUGUGUGUGCUCAUAUGCACAUGGAUAUCUGUGUGAACAUGUAAAUAGAUCUUUGAUGGCAAUUCUAUUUUUUUUAACGUUCAACUCAUAUGUUUCGUACUUAUCAUGAUGUAGAGUUAUAGAUUAUAUAAGUAAUAAUAUUUUAUUUUCUCUACCAUAAUGGAAUAGUUGUAGAUAGAACAUUGUAAAAUAUAAAUUUUUAUUUAUUGAGUUCACAUCUCAAGUAUUCUCCCUUAAAAAUUUAACUAAAAUGUUGAAAGAAAAAAACAAUAAAAUCUCAUAAAAAUACAUGUUUUUUCAGAUUGAAAGAAUGUAUCAAAUAGCCAACUUUUUGUACUGCAGACACAAACUUUUAAAAUCAAUUGAACUCAAUUUUACAUGUUGAAUACAAACAAUUGUUAUCAACUAAACUAACUAUGUAGGUCAAAUACACACCAUUAUUAUCCACCUAACUUAACUCAAUUUUUACACCAAACAACAUUUUAUAUACACAUAAAAGUUGAGAGGACUCGAGUUGUCUUAGUUAGAUAUGUAUCAUGUAAUUUUUAUUUUAUUUUAUUUUAUUUUUGAAACAAUAUAUUAAAGGUAGAGGAAAUGUAAGUCACAUCAACAUAUUUCAACUCAGUCGACCUAUUCCUAACAAAUAUAUGCAUACUUCAAUAUCAAAAGCAAUGCACUAUUUUAUUUCCAAAGAAAUACAAAAGGAAGGUAGAUAGAGAAUAUCUCCAAACUUAUAUUCUAUUAAGAGAAAACAAAUGAAAAUAAGAGACAGUUGUUAUAAUUAACUGAUAUAUUAAUUAAGAAUUUAAAAAGCAUUUCUUUGAAAAUGUCAGAAAAAGGACUAAAAAUUGUGAAUAAAUAAGAAUAAUAUCUACAAAUUAAUAAUUCAAGAUGGGAUGGUUAUCGUAAGAUAAAUCUUGGGAAAAAAUAUAGAUUUGGUAUUGAUAAAAAUUAAUUAAACUAGCUAGUUUUUGAAUUACUGUCAAAUGCAAGCCAACCAAAAAAUAAGAAUGAGACCUUUUUAAAACACACACUCAAAUCUAAAAACUUACCUUUUGUGCAUUUUUAAAAAAUGGUAAUUAACUUUUAAAAUAAAAUUUAUUUAAGUAAAGUCAGACAAAAAUAUAAGUGGUUGUUUAAAUAUAGUGUAGGAAAAGGUUGUAUUAUUUAUGUCUAUUUGAUACAUGAUUAACUAGUUUCAUUAUCUUAAUAAAUAAUAUAUAAUACUUUUAUGAACAAUGCUACUACUUGACACCCAUGCAUGCGUGGAUGGGUGAACAACAUAUAUCAACAUAUAUUUAGAUCUAUGAUGACAAUCGUCCAUAUGUUAAACUCAUAUGCUCCAGGAUCUCAUGAUAUAGAGUUAUAUUGUAGAUCAUAUAAAAUAAUAACAUUUUAAUUUGUCUACAAUAAAUGUUAUAGUCAUAGGUAGGGCAUUGUAAAAUAAAUUUUUAUUUAUUGAGUUCACAUCUCAAACUUGUGUUAAGAAUUUAGGAAAGUAUGUGUAGUCAUUGAAUUGAAUGGUAGAACACAAGGUUAAAGGGAAAAAAACAAUAACAAUUUAAAAGAACAAAAAAAAAAAAAACCCCAAAAAAAUGCAUGCUCUUUUAGGUUAAAAAAAAUGUAUCAAAUAUCCAUAACUGGACACAAUUUGACUCUUCGUAUCCCGACACAAAACUUUUUAGAUCAAACAAACUCAACUCUAUACUUUAAAACACAAUCAAUUAUUAUCAAUUAAGUUCAGCUAUACAUGUUAAAUAAAGACAAUUAUUACUAACCUAACUUUAACUCAACUUUACACCUCAAACAACUUUUCUAUACGGACAUAAAAUUUGAGAGGACUCAAGCCCAAACCUUAAUUAAAUAUGUCGAUGACAUAAAUCAUGUUAUUUAAUUUUUAUUUUAUUUUUUAAACAAUAUAUUAAGGAUAGAGGGAAGGAAUGAUCAACUCAAACUAUCUCAACUAGAUUGACAUAUUUUCACCCAAACUAAACAGGUAUGAAAUAAAAGGGAUGCAGUAUCUCAAAAAGGGAAAAUACAAAAGAGAGGUCGGUAGGGAUAGGUAUUAAGAAAAAACAAAUGAUUAAGACAGUUGUUAUAAAUUGAUAUAUUAAUUAAGAAUUUAAAAUCAUUUCUCUCAAAAGGUCAGAAAAAGGAAUGAAAAAUGUGAAUAAAUAAGAACAAUAUCUACAAAUUAAUAAUUCAAAAUGAAAUCGUUAUCAUAUGAUAAAUCUUGAAAAAAAAUAUUAACUAAUUAAUAUAGGAAUGACACUAGUGUAUAUUGAAUGGAAAAUAACGAUGUUUUUAGGCGGUGUUUAUUUAUUUAUUUGUUAGGAAUUGUUUAUUUAGAUCACACUAACAAAAUAAAUAGAAAAAUAUGUGAGAAAGAAAGGGGGAAAUAAGAAAAAAAGAUGUGUAAUAAAGAAAUUGUAGAUAUAACUCAUGCAACUCUUUUCUUUGUAUAGUGUAAAUAUAACAAAUAUAAAAAUAUUUUAAUCUGCUAUAUUUGCUAGUUUAAAAGUGUAAGUGACUUGAACCCUAUUAUCGUAAAUUUUCUUUUUGCUAUUUUUAUAAAUUUUCUAAAUAUUAAUGAGAAUUAAUAUUAAUAAAUGAAGAUGUAAAAAAAUGCUACUUUCUUACUAUAUUUUAUAAAUACUUUUAAUAUUUUUUUUUGACUAUUUAUAACAUUUCUUCCGAUAAAAAUAAAUUUUCUUAUAAAUUAAAUAUGGUCAAUUUUUAUUAAUUGUCAAAGCAAGCCUAUUUUGGUGUAAUUGCUUAAUUUGAGGUUGACAAUUCAAAUCCCAAAUCCCAAUGUACUAAAAAAAACUAAUUAAUCAAUAUAGGUUGCUUUAUUAUUUUUAUCAUCAAUUUUGUUAGAGAUAUAACUAUUUUUUUAGAAGAAUUAUUGUAAAUGAUAAAUUUGUUGUUAGAUUGAAACUUCAUAAAAGUUCUAAUAAUAAAAUCUAAAAUUUUGCUAUUUUUUAUAAAUAUUUUGGUUCAUUUUGAUAUAUUUAAAAAUAUUUAAUGUUAUUCUUAAAUCUCAAAUUCUCACUCAAAAAGAAAAAAAAUCUUAUAAUUAAGAUUAGUAGUCAAAAUUAUUGUUCUUUAGUUUAAUUAGAUAAAAAUAUUAGUUUUAUUAGUUUCAAAAGGUUUAUUUAUAAAUAUAGUAAAAUCAAAAUAUUUUUAAAAAAAUAGUAAGAAUAUAUCCCAAUCUAUAGAUGGAUUGAGAUAGGGCAACAUAGAUUUUAUGAUAAGUUAUGAUAUUUUGUUAUAUUUGUAAAUGUUUUCAAAACGUUUGUUAUUUAAAAUAAUUUUUUCUUUCAAAAUCACUCAAAAGAAUAUUUUUAGUAAUUUAAAAACAAUUUUAAUAAUACGAAAAAUGUGUUUACCAAUGUAAAAUUAAUCAUUGAAUUGAUUUUAGAAAAAUUGCAUCAAAUGACAAAAACAUUUAGAAAAAACAGCUCAUAACACCUUUUUUUUUCUCUUCAUAUUGUAAAUAUGUUAACAUUAAUGAUAUCAUAUGGCUAUCAAACGGUAAUUAUAGGACUAUCGAAGAGCUGUCCGAUGGUAAUCAUAAGGUUACUAGUUUUUAAAUUUUUUACUUCUCCAAUUUAGAAAAUUUAUUAAUAUGAUCUCUAUUAUCAUAAAUUAAUUUACUAUUUUUACAACCAACCCCUUAAUUUUUAGUGGUUAAAAGGUGGGUUUGGAAGUGAAAUAAAUGGGAGAUUGAUUUCUAGAUUGGAAAAAAGGGAGAAGGUCGACUCCAACAAUAAAGGGAAGAGAAAAAAAAAAAGAACUAUUUUGUAUCCAUGUAUAUUUUUUUUACCUUUCUAUUAUUUUUUAAAAGUUCAUCAAUGAUGUUACAAAAUAACUAUAUAAAUAGAAUUGCCAAAAUCUUUUUUGGUUGACACAAAGACUCAUCCCCUGCAAGAAAAUGUUGAAGUCAUCAUGUGAUCGUAAAUCUAGAUUUUGAAUCUAUCGAUCUCAAGUUUGGGGUCUAGAAUAUUAAAACAAAUACAGACUAGCAUAUACAAAAACAUACUGUUAACUAUAGAUAAAUUAAAACAAGCUAGGAAGAAUUUAGAUAAAAACACACCAAAAGCAUAUAUGCUUUUUAUACUUUUAUUUUAUCAUAAAUUAGUAGUAGUUUUCAUUCCAAUUGCAUAUAAAACAUCCAUACACAUAAACAAUAAACAAGUGAGAGAGUAGAUAGUUUGUUGAGAUCGUAGAUUAUCUAUGCACCCAUUAUCAUAAUUGCAUCAUCAAGGAAGACGAAAAAAAGAUACGACCUCCUUCACAUUUUUGGAUGUAUUUUCCAACACAAUGGCGCUAUAAAACCCCUGAAAUGUGCGAGGAUGAUGAGCAAGUAUGAGAAGGUUAUAAUAAGUGUUGCCACCCAAGAACACCGUAACGAUCUGUCCAUCUGCUACACUAUUCAGUAUCAAAUGAUCUUCUCCCUGUUCUUUUACUGCAUACUCCGCCAUCUCUAUCACUUUUGGAUCGUCUUUCAAUAUCGGAUUACAGGAACCAAUCACGAUUGAAGGUCCAAAUCCAGCAGUGUCCAUGACUUUAAAUUCUCUUCAAAGAAAAAUUAAACUCACUCGAAGAACUAGUAAUGGUUUGUGGUAUGUCCUAUAAUUUUGAUUAAGACUAGUUUGAUAUUUAUAGUACAUAUCAUACCAACUUAGUUCUAUGAUGAAACUUUGGUUUUUGAUCAUUAAUUAUAUUGUUAUAUUUUUUAUGAACAAUAUUUGCGUGUAUGCACCCAUGCAAGCGUGGAUGUAUGAACAUGUAAACUUUGUGUGUGAACAUGUAAAUGGUAUGAUGACAAUCCUUAUUUUUUGUGCAUAGGUUAAACUCAUGUGCUCCACCAUCUUAUGAAUCUAUAGUUAUCGUGGAAAAUUGUCGAGGAUAAAAAGAUUUAGAAAAAAACGUCUCAUAACAUCUCUUUUUUCAUAUUGUAAAUUUGGCAAAUAUAACGGUAAUCUGUUUUUAAAUUUGCUAUUUUUGCAAUUUUGAAAAUAUAAGUGAUAUGGAUUUUAUUAUCAUAAAUUUUUUUUAGUAUUUUUUGUGAACUCUCCUUUAUAAUAUAAUUUUAAUUUAUUUAUAAUAAAUGAUAUAGUUGUAAGUAGGGCAUUGUAAUAUUUUCUUUUUUAUUGAGUCGUUCACAUCUCAAAUUUGUGUUAAGAAUUUAGGAAAGUAUGUGGAGUUGAACGGUAUAGAACACGAAAAAAUAAUAACUUUUUAAAAAAACCCAUAAAAGUCCAUGUUCUUCAUAACUUAGCAUAAUUCGACUCUUUGCACCCGGAUACAAAACUUCUUAAAUCAAAUAAACUCAAUUCUACACUUUAAAACGCAAUCAAUUAUUAUCAACUAAGUUUAACUAUUUAUGUCAAACUCAACAUUCUGCCUCAAACAACUUUUAUGCGUAUUUAUAAAAGUUGAUAGGGUUCAAGCCGUAUGACCAUAUUAUUUUUAUUUUAUUUUAUUUUUAAAAAAAUAAUAUAUUAAAAAUAGAGAAAAAAUACGAAUUUAAAUAUUUCAAUUAAAUUGACAUAUCCGUGACAAAACUUCUAAACCUGCAUAGUAUAGUAUGCAUUAUCUCAAAAAAGAAAAAUACAAAAGAGUGGUAGCUAGAGAAUUGGUCCAAAGUUAUAUUCUAUUAAAGGAAAAACAAAUGACUAAGAUAGUUGUUAUAAAUUGAUAUAUUAAUUAAGAUUUUAAAAACAUUUCUAUUCAAAGGUCAGAAAAACGACUGAAAAUUGUGAAUAAAUAAGAACAUUAUCUAUAAAUUAAUAGUUCAAAAUGAAUUUGUUAUCAUGUGAUAAAUCUUGAAAAAAAAUAACUAUUUAAUAUAAGAAUGACACUAUUAAAUUGAAUGGGGAAUAACAAUGUUUUAGGAAGUUUUUAUUUAUUUUUUAUGUAAAUAUUUUUAUUUUAAAAGUUAGAUCAUACUAACUAAAUAAAUAGAAAAAUAUGUGGGAAAGAAAGGGGGAAAAGAAGAAAAGAAGAUGUGUAAUGAAGAAAAUUGUGGAUAUAAUUUUGGGAAAUCAAAAUAAAAUAAUAAACAUUUUAUUCAAAUAAUUCAAAGUUCAAAUAUUCGAUGAAAUAUUGAUAUAUUCUUUGAUUUAUAUUUGAAAAUCAAAAAAUUUCACGUGGAUAUUACAUAUCUAUGAAUAGCUUCAACAUAUUUUAUUUUAAUAAUGUUUGAAAAUAAAAAUGUCAUCUACUUAGUCAAAUAUCAAUUAGAAUUACUAUUUAUAAAUUAUCAUCAUGCUCAUCCAAUCAACUUAACGUUUUAACAUAUGAUUCCAAAUACUUUGUCUUUUCAUUCACUUCCAUUGCUCCAAUGUCACUAUCUCAAAACUCAUCAAAAUAGAUUAUAUGAUUAUAUACAUCAUUCAUGCUUGAAAGUAUAGUAAUAUAACAUAUUGGAUUAAAUUAAUUAGAACUUUUGAUAAUUCCAUUUGUUAAUUUGCAUCAUCUUUUAUUAUUAUUAAUUAUUCCUCUCGCAACAAAUUUGUGGAUUUUGUAAUAAUAUAGCUAGAGGACGAGAGGGAAAACAUAUUAUAUCUAAUGUCACAAUUGAAUCACUGUCAAAUAUUUCCAAAGAAAAAAAAAUUGUUGUAUUUCGGUUUGAGAUGUGAUUUUUUAUUAAAUACUUAUUUAAAUGACAAAACAUAUUUUUAGUCGGUGAGAUUUAGGAUUAAUGUCUAUUUGGUCUUUGAAAACAAGCACUUCAGUCUCCAUCACAAAACCACUCUUAAACAUACAUGCUAGAAAAGAACUAUAUAAAUAGAAUUAUCAUAAUUUGUUCUAAUUGAUACAAAGGACUCAUCGUGCAAGAAAAUGUUGAAGUCAUCAUGUGGGCGUAAUUCUAGAUUUUGAAUCUGUCUCAAUUUUGGGUCUAGAUAAAUUAAAACGAGAGAGAAUUUAGAUGAAAACACACCAAAAGCAUACCUGCUUUUUAUACUUUUAUUUUAUCUAAAUUUGUACUACUUUUCAUUCCAAUUGCAUGUAUAACAUGCAUACACAUAAACAAGUGAGAGAGAGUAGAUAAUUUGUUGAGAUUGUAGAUCAUUGAUGCAUCCAUCAUCAUUGCAUCAUUAACGAAGAGGAACAAAAGAUACGACCUGCUUCACAUUUUUGGAUGUAUUUUCCAUCACAAUGGUGCUAUAAAACCCCUGAAAUGUGUGAGGAUGAUGAGCAAGGAUGAGAAGGUUGUAAUAAGUGUCGCCACUCAAAAACACCUCAACGAUCUGUCCAGCUUGUACACUGUUCAGGAUCAAUUCUUCUCCCUGUUCUUUCACUGCAUACUCUGCCAUCUCUAUUACUUUUGGAUCGUCAUUCGGUAUCGCAUUCCAGGUACCAAUCACGAUCGAAGGUUGUCCAAUUCCAGCGGCAGCCAUGACCUUGAUUUCUCUUUAAAAAAAAAAAGUAAACCGGCCACUUGAAGAAAGAUAGUAAUAUGGUUUGUGGUAUGUUCUAAAUUUUGAUUAACACACUAGGUUGGUAUUUAUAGUACAUAUCAUACAAACUUAGUUCUAUUAUGAAAUUUGGUUUUUGUUAAUCAUUAAUUAAUAAUUAAAGAGGUUUUGGGAAACGUUACCACGUUUUGUUGUGGUGUUUUUUUAUUGAUUACUUCACAAAGAUGCUAAGUUGGUUAGGUCAAUGAAAUGAAAACCUAAUUCAUCUUUUAAGUCGGCUUUCACACCCAACCCUUUUCCUUUUUCUUUUUUUCUUUUUUUUUUUUCGAACUUAUAAUAUUAUUUAAUAGUUUAUUUUCAAAUAUAGAAAAAUAAUUAAAAUUGUCACGACGUGAUCGCUACACGGAGCAACCGACCUCCAUCGUUUAUUUAAUUUUAAUAAAUAAAUAGUUUUAGAGUCGCCACCAACCAUAUCAGGGUGUGAUUGGUUACCCAAAAAGGAAAAAUAAAUUGUCUCCAUAAAUUGAGAAAUUUAAGUUCGGAAGUCGGUUGUGUGUAGGUAAAGUAUUAGCACCCUACAACACCCACAAAAUGGUUACCCAAUUUUAUCUUUUAAAUUAAAUUAUAGAGGUUCACAAAACAAAGUUUUUAUUUAGGUUUUGUUUAAAUGUCUCAUGUUUAUGAAUUCAUAUCGAAGAAGAUAAAACCUAAGCAUGAAUUGAUA
rnacentral:lncRNA from 1 species